ensembl:lncRNA
GCAGGCAUGAAACCCACCAUUCAGUUAUGUGAUGUGAUCUUUUUGUUUUGCUUGCGUAACCUUGGGCGUUACUGAUAAGGUAUGGAAGGAGUUUGAUAGCAAAGAGCAACCUUUUGUAAUCUGGUGAGUCCAGUUUACAAAAUCCCUGUGAUGUGUGUCUUAAUUCUGGGAAAGAGUAAAUGCAAGCGGUUCAUUCUUUUGCUGGGCCCGAGUACAGAAUUUCACGACUAUCAACAGCCUGAAACCACAGAUCAGUUUUUCAGGGUGGGCAGUUACACUCAGCCCUGGGUCACCUGCAGUUAGAAGUCCCCCUUCAGGGGUCUGUGGGCUUUAGGAGCUAACGUACACCGAAUAGCACCUGUGCAUUUUUGAGUGCAUUCUUUUUUGCUUUUAAAGGUCCUGUAUUCUAGGCUAUUGGUCUUACGUCUUACUCUCUCUUACUUCCAGAGAGGUAAGUACAUCUUACAAAGCAUGAGUGCUGUGACAGGGACACAGGUUAACAGGGAAGAGUCAUCCUUUGGCUGAAGCGGAAAGUUUCUGCAUUCCAUCGUGUAUGAGAUACAGUGACCCUUUCCCCAGCAGAUAAGACCACAGAUGAUCCACAUUUGAUCGCUAAGAGAUCCUCUGGCAGCAGAUGACACGUUUGGCUUGCCCUGGUUUUGUGUUCUGUGUGUUGCUAUUGAAGGCAGGCUGAUGUUUUUUCCUCUGUGUGUGGUUUUAGAUUUCUGAUACACUGAAGCGGUUUGCGGUAAAAGUAACUACAGCCAGCGUGAAGGAACGGAGAGAGAUCCUCAGUGAGCUGGGAAAAUGCAUUUCUGGGAAAGAUCUUCCAGAGGGUGCAGUGAAAGGCCUUUGCAAACUCUUCUGCCUUACCCUGCAUCGAUACCGCGAUGCAGCAUCCCGCAGAGCCCUGCAGCUGGCACUUCAGCAGCUCGCAGAGUCCCAGCCGGAUGCAACAGCAAAAAAUCUUCUGCAGUCACUUCAGUCUUCAGGGAUUGGUGGCAAGGCCGGAGUUCCCAGGUGCUGGAUGAGUUGCUUUGUGUGGACGCAAUUCUGAGUUGCUGGUAGUUGCUUUUGUGUUCAGAAUGAUGCUUCUGCUGCUGCUUGCCAGAGGUGUUAAAAACAUUUAGAGACCAAGUUGUUCGUGAUCAUUCAGAUGUUCCUCUCUUCCCUCUUUCAUGUCCUCUGGGAAAGCAGAAGGACUGUUGUGGUAUUACUGCUGGCAGGUUGGGUCCGAGUUACAGUUUUGCCUUUAACCUUCAAGCCUGGAGAGAUGAGGCACAAACCCUUUUCUCAAGAAACCAUCUCCAAAAUGAUUAGGAAAGGGGAUUUCCUCACCCAGCUGGUGUUCAGCUGGUGGAAUUCAAGACCUUAUUGUAGACAGGGAGAUAAUGAAAUCUGAAGCAGAGCUGAGAAACAUGCAGCUCUUCUAAAACGCUGGUGGUUCCCAAAGGUGACGCAGGGUAUUGUGCCACUGCUGGAGGCCACAGAGCACCAUCCUGCAACGCCUCCGUGGCUGAGUAGGAGUGUGGCAUUUAGAAAAAGAUCUGAUCUUGGUUUAAAGGCUUGCAGUGAGAUGAUUUUUACCUUUCUGUCACAGUGUCUGGCCUUGUGCGCAAGGACAAUUUCUAAAUAUUCUUUCGCUUUGAGGUAGAGAUCAAAAUAGGGUGAGGAUCCUCAGGGAGCUGCGAGGUGGGAUCUGUUACCUGAAAUGGAGGGAGGACGUGAGAGUUAGCAGAAACCGGAAUGGAGUAGUGUGCCAGGAGGGAAUGUAAGCUGAGAAACGAUUUGGCAGUCUAAGGCUGGGAAGCUAUGACGGUAAAGAUGAGCAGCAGAUGAGAAAUCUUGAGUCACUUUUUGGGCACUCUCAGUUGGCAAAGUAUUUAACUCUCAUUUCUGUAAUGCCGCUGGGAAGAUCCAAAAAUGGUCUUUCUUCUGCUGAGGUUUUUCAUUCCCAGCAGGAAAGAUUUAGCCUCUUUUGUGCCAUUCAGAAGUUCUAAGUGUUAAACAGGAGUUGAAGCACAUAGCUUCCUACGACUAAUUAUUUCUUUUAAAAACUAAGGCUUUAGCUGUAUUUUUGCAUGAUAAAAUUGCUUUACUUAUAAGGUG